UACGUAGGGGGCAAGCGUUAUCCGGAAUUACUGGGUGUAAAGGGUGCGUAGGCGGUACUGUAAGUCCGAUGUGAAAGCCCGGAGCUCAACUCCGGGAUUGCAUUAGAAACUACAGAACUAGAGUACAGGAGAGGAAGGCGGAAUUCCUAGUGUAGCGGUGAAAUGCGUAGAUAUUAGGAGGAACACCAGUGGCGAAGGCGGCCUUCUGGACUGUAACUGACGCUGAGGCA
rnacentral:rRNA from 1 species